GCAAUUCCAGCUGAUCCUGCUGGCGGGCACUGCUAUGGGAGUGCGACUAAGACAUGCAAGUCUUAGAGCGCUAGCCAUGAAGCGCUCUGGCGGACGGCUCAGUAACACGUGGGUAAUCUACCCUGAGGAGGGGUUAAUCCCGGGAAACUGGGGAUAAUGCCCCAUAGGCAACAGAGGCUGGAAUGCGCUGUUGUCGAAAGGCAACUGCAUCAUGCUGCAGCUUGCGCCUCAGGAUGAGCCUGCGGCGGAAUAGGUUGUUGGUGGGGUAAUGGCCCACCAAGCCUAAGAUCCGUACGGGCCUUGGAAGAGGGAGCCCGGAGAAGGGCACUGAGAUAAGGGCCCUAGCUCUACGGAGUGCAGCAGUCGCGAAACCUCUACAAUGCGCGAAAGCGUGAUAGGGGUACUCCCAGUGCCAGCUGUGCUGGCUUUUGCCGAGCCUAAAAAGCUCGGCGAAUAAGUGGGGGGUAAGAUACGUGCCAGCCGCCGCGGUAACACGUACCCCACGAGUGGUGCCCACUUAUAUUGAGCCUAAAACGCCCGUAGCCAGCUUGGCAAGUCACCUGUGAAAUCGGUCAGCUUAACUGACCGGCGCGCGGGUGAUACUGCCAGGCUUGAGGCCGGGAGGAGGCAGGGGUAUUCCCGGGGUAGCGGUGAAAUGCGAAG
rnacentral:rRNA from 1 species